GGGACAAAGAGAAAAUACAGAGACAACCAAAAAAAGGUAGAAACAGACAAAGAAAAAAACCAAAACUGAGAAGAGAAACAAUUAGAAAAAAAAGGGAAAAAGAAGACACAGACGACAAAAACCAAAGUGAAAAAGAGAGGAAAAAGAAAGAAGAAAGAGUGACUAGUUGAUUUCGAGUUUCUAUCUCGAGUUUCUGGUGAAGGCCUUCUUGUUUAUACUUUAGCUAUUCUACAAAAUAGGUUCUUAUUCGAUUCCUUUAUUUGUAACAAAUUUUUAUAUGAAAUCAAAGCACGAAUGAAGUUAUUUCUAUGUUGUUUGCUCAUUUUCUUUGUAUAUUAUGUAUUUUUCAUUUUGAAAUGAAGUAUA
rnacentral:lncRNA from 1 species